rnacentral:rRNA from 1 species
CCUACGGGAGGCUGCAGUGAGGAAUAUUGGUCAAUGGGCGGGAGCCUGAACCAGCCAAGUCGCGUGAGGGAAGACGGUCCUAUGGAUUGUAAACCCCUUUAGGCGGGGAGCAAUGCCGGGCACGUGUGCCCGGAGGGAGAGUACCCGCAGAAUAAGCAUCGGCUAACUCCGUGCCAGCAGCCGCGGUAAUACGGAGGAUGCGAGCGUUAUCCGGAUUUAUUGGGUUAAAGGGGUGCGAGGGCGGAUUUUUAAGUCAGCGGUAAAAUGUCCGGUUUAAAUCCGGGCCGGCCGUUGAAACUGGGGAUCUUGAGUGGGCGAGAGGUAUGCGGAAUGCGAGGUGUAGCGGUGAAAUGCAUAGAUAUCACGCAGAACUCCGAUUGCGAAGGCAGCAUACCGGCGCCCGACUGACGCUGAGGCACGAAAGCGUGGGGAUCGAACAGGAUUAGAUACCCCGGUAGUC